CAAAUCUUCGAAACAGUGUUUGGAUAGACGUGUUGGUGGACACCAGUCACAACAGAGCCUUCCAACACCCAGUCUGCAGCACCUAAACCUUGACAAGAUGGCUACAGUAGCGCAGACGCUCCUCAGCGAGGCAGCACAGUCCACCAUCCGUCUGAAAGUCGCUCGGUCAGGUGGCGUACAUGUUCCCUUGCGCCGGCGCUCUUGCUUGAUUCGAGCUGCUGCGACUGGGCCAGGCCCGAAGCCUAAGGCUGAUCUCCUACACAAUGUUCGGCAAGGUUGCGAUACCUUUUUGCAGGUAAUUCCUUUCGGCACACGAGCAAGCACGAGUCUCCUGGGUGAAAGGGAGCGUAUAGAGUGCAAGCAGUCAUGAGCAAGUUGUCACUUUGACUUCAGGGCAAUCUGAUAACCUCGUACAGGCUGCCCUUGCAUCGCAGAUUGUCUCAAAUUUGUCCGAACCUUUCUUUGCUCGUGAGGAAUUAGGGUGCAGAGUGGCCCUGUUCACGGGCAGCAUGCAUCUGAAGGAUUGGGGUAUCUCGUCCAUUUGGGAACGUCAUGUGCUUGCCUUCCCUGACAUUGUCUUGGUGGUUCAUGGCAGAAAUACGACGUGCUGUCAUGUGGGUUUGGAGCCCUCUGCUGCACUUCAAUCUUCGUUGCUCAAGGGCAGUCGCCAGCUGACGCGCUCUGGAUCACUGCGGCGGCAACCGUUACUGGCCUGGUGCGUUCCCUUGUGCUCUAGUGGAUAUAAGCGGCUUUUGAUCUGCUGUUGCAAGGGUGCAGCCCUCCUACGACUGUUUGUCUUCCGCUCUUUCUGAGCAGUUUCAGGGUGGGACUGAUUUUUUACCCACGUGCAGGUUGCCAACGAGCUAUUCUUUGACAAUGCAUCCUGAGCUGGUGUCGACCAGGGCGCACAUGAAGUCGCGCGGCCUGCAGAACGCAUGACACACUAGUCACUUGGCUGCAGAGGCUCUGCAUGCCAUCCUUUUUCAUAUUGUAAUCUAGCGAGUGGCCAUCAAGUACUGUGUCUACUGCCUUUCUGGGCUGCUGUAUUCUUGGUUUUCGACGCAAUGUACGGAUAUUGCUGAACAGCACUGGAAAAUUGACGUACAAAUUGUCUUCUGGCCCGCGGCUGGUCCAUCGGGCUUAGUUUGUUGAGGGCAGCCUCAACACGACGAAGAGUUGAGGUGUGUAGACUGUAUGGUAGUACUUUGGCAUUGCCGGAGACUCACUGUGAGGGUUCCUCGGAGUUGCGAGGCAGAACAUGCCAGGUCAGGGAAGAGAAAAGCAUGCAGGCUCUUCUGCAUUUUUUAGCAAAGCUGAGGCUGGGAUCAAACAAGCCAGCAUCAGUAUCUGCUUAGCAGUUGGAUUGCUCAUUCGAUAUAUGAUUCUGACUAUAUGAAUUCGCAGCAGGUUUGCAGCGCAGUCCAACAAUUUUGGUGUGUAUUGAAAGAGAUUCUGGUGACAGUACUCUGUGAAGCACAUGUGCUGCACACGAGCACUUGUGCGGGCAUGUGUGGGUGUGAGGAGUGUCGUUUCAAUGCCUUAUAAGUAGCAUUUUUGGAGGCUCUCAAGUGAGAGCCAGUUGCAUGUUGAAGCUUGAAGGGUCUAAUCAACAUGUGUACAGUAAGCGCUGUGCCAAACAUUAAGUAACAUGAUAUAAUCAAGGCAAAUAUCAUAUUUUCAUAUCAUAUCUAAACUCCUUGUUUGAUUGCUGCAUGUGCUCACUGAGUGACUGGCAGUACAUGUCAUGGCAUUUUUAUCACAGUCCGACAAAAAGUCUUUAGCCGAUAAGCUCAGAGCUGCGGCUAGCUAGCUGUAGCUCAUUCCCAAUUACAGUGCAAAUAGAUCUGUACUGCUCUCCAGGGAGUACACAAGACUGCAUGCAUGGUCAACUUGAAGGAUCUCUGCACUCAAGUCCCUUGCAGGAUCAAGUUCCGUCAGGUUGCAAUGAAAUUCACCUUUGUUAAAACUUAUUCAAGCUCCAUGAAGAACGUGUGCUCAU
rnacentral:lncRNA from 1 species